rnacentral:rRNA from 1 species
UACGUAGGGUGCAAGCGUUGUCCGGAAUUAUUGGGCGUAAAGAGCUCGUAGGCGGUUUGUUGCGUCGGCUGUGAAAUCCCGAGGCUCAACCUCGGGUCUGCAGUCGAUACGAGCAAACUAGAGUGUUGCAGGGGAGACUGGAAUUCCUGGUGUAGCGGUGAAAUUCGUAGAUAUCAAGCGGAACACCGGUGGCGAAGGCGGCCUUCUGGACAGUGACUGACGCUGAGAUGCGAAAGCGUGGGGAGCAAACAGG